rnacentral:rRNA from 1 species
AUUGAACGCUGGCGGCAGGCCUAACACAUGCAAGUCGAACGGUAACAGGAAACAGCUUGCCGUUUCGCUGACGAGUGGCGGACGGGUGAGUAAUGUCUGGGAAACUGCCUGAUGGAGGGGGAUAACUACUGGAAACGGUAGCUAAUACCGCAUAACGUCGCAAGACCAAAGAGGGGGACCUUCGGGCCUCUUGCAUCGGAUGUGCCCAGAUGGGAUUAGCUAGUAGGUGGGGUAACGGCUCACCUAGGCGACGAUCCCUAGCUGGUCUGAGAGGAUGACCAGCCACACUGGAACUGAGACACGGUCCAGACUCCUACGGGAGGCAGCAGUGGGGAAUAUUGCACAAUGGGCGCAAGCCUGAUGCAGCCAUGCCGCGUGUAUGAAGAAGGCCUUCGGGUUGUAAAGUACUUUCAGCGGGGAGGAAGGGAGUAAAGUUAAUACCUUUGCUCAUUGACGUUACCCGCAGAAGAAGCACCGGCUAACUCCGUGCCAGCCGCCGCCGUAA